rnacentral:rRNA from 1 species
UACAGAGGUCUCAAGCGUUGUUCGGAUUCAUUGGGCGUAAAGGGUGCGUAGGUGGCGCCGUAAGUCAGGUGUGAAAUCUCGGGGCUUAACUCCGAAACUGCAUUCGAUACUGCCGUGCUUGAGGACUGGAGAGGAGACUGGAAUUUACGGUGUAGCGGUGAAAUGCGUAGAUAUCGUAAGGAAGACCAGUGGCGAAGGCGGGUCUCUGGGACGGUACUGGACGCUGAGACGCGAAAGCGUGGGGAGCGAACAGG